CUUUCAUUCAAACUUGUUUAGAUUCACCACAAACUGAACACACACAUUCUCAACUUUCAAACAAAGCUUGUGACAUUAUCUUCCAAAUUUAUUUGAGAUACUUAUGCCAUUUUGAAAUCAGCUAUGUGUAACAAUUUUUCUUCAAAAUAAACAUGCAUCACAUUUUGCUUAUUUUUUAGCACGUCAAAUGUCAUCUUAAUGGCCUGAGAUUUUAGGUACUAUGUUUUUGAGACUUAUGCUUUAAAGCAAAGUAUGUUCUUAAGCCAUACGAUAGCUUUGUAUUUAAAAUUAAAUGUGUGCUUUUGGAUAGGAUUGUGAAUUGCAUUCGGAUAUCUAUUUUUAUGCAGGGACAUGUACAUUGGUAAUAGCUUGGAAUCAAGGUAGGGGGAUCUAGGGAACCUCUACUCAUUCGUAUUGUGUGCAUAUAUGUUGCUUGAUAUAUUUGUUUGGAAUGCUUGGAUAUUUGAUAAAAUUACAUGUUUAAAGUAUGAGUUGUUUAUAGUUCGAUGCAUCAUUUAGUAAAGACAUUUGAAGGAUAAAGGUGGUGAAGGGAAUAUGAAAUUGAUCUUUUGCGUAGUUGAGUCCAAACCUCAGUAGGAACCAUGUCUAAGGUAUGCCCGUGGUUAUUGUGCAAUUAGUAUAGGAAUGAUAAGGGUAAUUCGGGACUGGAGAAAGGGGAAUGGACAAGAUGACUAGCAAAAGAGGGCUAGGGAUUGAUUUUGGUGAAGUUGUUCAUAUAGUUGAGUAUGCUGAGUCACCUUCUUGGUAAAAUACAUGGUAUGGGACAUGUAGGCUCAGUUUAUUCUUCUAUGUGGAUUAACUGGAGUAGAACAUCCAUUUAUGUAUAUUAUGUGAUCAUUGUAUGAUAAUCUUUGUUUGGAGAGGAAUAGCUCCCUACUGAGCCACAGGUUGAGCUCACCCCUUUACAGUCUUGUAGGUUAUGAAACAGGAGAACAAUAACAAUUAGUGAUUAAGACGUAGAGUUAGAUGGAGUUCUAAAUGUGUCAGAGCUUCAUUUAGGAAGAGAGUACCCUUAGUCAUUUUGGUUGUAUCCAAAUAUAUAUUGAAAUGAUCGAGAAGUCGAUUCUUUUAAGCUGUCAUUUGUUAUUUUCGUUUCCUUUAGCUUAUUUUUAUUUUAGCUCACUCCUCAGGUUUUCGGGAAAAGAAAAAAAAAAUCUAUCCUAAAAUUUGGGGCGUGACAGUACCUAUGUACUCCUCAUAUACCUAUGUGUGUUAAAUUUCACAGGAUUUGGUUAAUAUUUGGUUUGUCAAAUUGCUUGCCAAAAACAGUAGCACAUUCAGCCAAAAGCUGAAUUUUUUGGGUUUUCAGAUUUUUGCUUCAACUUUGAGAAAGCAUAACUUCCUAUCCAAGGCUUUGUUUUCAAAACGUAAGCCAUGUACUUAAAGCUUGUAAUCCCAUCUUUACAAUAGGCUUUGGUUCAUAAAUUUUUGUUAGAUUUGAGUGAGUGGAAAGUGAAGCCAAAAACAGCAUCUUACACACUGUUUUGACACAAGGCUGACAGAUGAACCUUGUUCUAACUCAGUCUUUUCUUUAACAACUGAUUUCUAUGUUUUGCAGUAGCUCUUUAAACAACUUUUGAGUCUUAUUUUGUAUUUGUUUUAUAGUUUAGAGUUUCUUAUUUAUGUAUAUUACUUGUGACACAAAACCUCAACACACUUCCUAUUUUCUAAUCAAACAGUACAACCAAAGAAUCAUUUAGAUAUGAUUAUAUAUAGCAAUCAGUUUAAGACAUACAAAAAUUCUAGAUCAACUCAUUCAGCAAUCAAUGCAAAAUUCCAAAUCAAAGAACAAACAUAAAGAAAGCACAAAUGCUCCAAAUCAAUUUGGUCAUAAAAUUGACCAAAUUCUGAGAAAAUCAAGCUAGAUAGACAUCAAAUCCUCAAUCAAUCCUUAAAAUAAUCACAACCCAUUAUCAAAUUACAGUAGAUCAUCCAUUCAUAGUCUUUAGUAAAACGAAUGACAACUGGAACAUAGACAAAGAAGAAGGUAUAGAGGGUUGAAGGAGAGAUUGCACAAUAAUCAACACAAAUCAGAGAACUAGACCCAAAUUGAUUCUAAACAAAAACCCAAACACCCAACAACUAAUUCAUACCUUAAAUUCUUCAAAUUGAGGAGAAUCUUCUGAGGUGGAGAACUAGAGAUGAACGAAGAAUCUUCCGAAUCUUCUGCCGUUCGGUUCUUCUCAGUUGGGUUGGGUGAGUUCGACCACAAAUACUAUACUUACACAAGGCCCCUGCAGAGGAAAAGUUUCCCAGCGAAUAGAAGAUGCUCUCCUCUUCUCUUCACUUUAGGUUGUGCAAAUCAAUUUGUUUUAGGUUUUCUAAAUUCUGUUUUUAUUUUUUAUUAUAUUUUUUAUAUAUAAAUUAUAAAAUUACAUGCUACCUCAUAAAUAAGUUACUAAUAUUGAAUAAUAUAAGCCGUUAGAUAUAUUCAAAGUUACUAUAUCCAACGGUCAAAGAAUAUUCAAAAGAGUUGAUGCAUACUACACAUCAACUCACCCUAUAAUUUUCCUAAAACCAUGGAUUCAAUAGUAAACCAAUCAAAUACCCAGCAAACAUUUCACCAAAAAAUUCAAACUUUAACACAAAAAUUAAAAUAUCAGAAGAGAAAAAAAUCUUUGGCCAUUGAUAUUCCCAACAGUAACAGUGGUCGGAUGAGGAGAUUUCAGCCUUCAAAUCAUGUUUUAUGAAGAAGAAGGACGAACUGCAAUGGAUCUGGGGAAUGACUGGGCUCUUGAUAAAAGGGGUUGAUUAGUCUUCACUCUUGAGAGAGAAAGAGAUCGAUGAAGAAGAGAGAAAGGAGGAGAGACCACCUCAAAUAUGAGUACUCACAAUAACACUAGCUAAAGGAGGUUGAGAGCAAAAACAGGUGUUAAGUAGUACCAUUUAUUUUUGUACUCCCUCACACCAAACACAGAACAAACCACUUAGUACCUCUUAUUUAGUUAAAUAUCAUUUAGUCUCAUGUACCAAACAAGCACUAGAUGUACUGAAAUCUAAUAAGCAACAAUAUAACUACUUCAAAAACUGGUACGCUCACAAUUAAGCAAGCCUCUACUCAACCGACAACCUCACCCAGCCUAGAACCCCUGUUGCUUUACCUGAGCCCCGGAACAAGCCUAGCCCAACCUGCAUGCACCCGUUCAUCUACAAUUAGGGCACGUUUACUUACAUGGAAUGAAAUUGAAAAGUGAGGGAAUGAUUCCGGCAGAGGAGAAUUCCAGCGUUUACUUACACAUGAUGGAAUUGGAAUGGGUGUGGGUCCCACCUCCUAAUAAGGAAUUGAUUCUUUGACAACCUUGAAUUGUAAUACCAAGGGGGAAUGUGGGAUUAGGAAUGAUACCAUCAGGAAUGAACUUUUAUUCUGAAAAUACCCUCUUUAAUUUUAUAUGCUAAUAAUAUU
rnacentral:lncRNA from 1 species